GGGUGGGGAGCAUUUUCUGUACAAUGCCUGAAGAACACGGUAAAGACAGUCAGGCAUACUAAGGAAGGACACCGUUCUAAAACAUUCUACGUCUUUAGCUUCUUUUCUUUUCCUUAACUGCUCCAGCUAGACCCUCCAACACAAUGUUGAACUGAAUUAAAGCUGUUUGCCUACACAAGAUGAAGAUGCCUGGUUUCUAUUGAGGGCCUUUAAAUAGGCCCUCUACAGAGUAUCUCUCACUGACAAUCAACAACUACAAUCUCCUUCAGCCUGAGGAAGCCACAGGGGUCAUCACCCACUUCUCUCUCAUGCUUCUUCAUCUUCGCCAGCCAAAACUGUGUACCAGAGCAUCAUUCUUCCCAGCCCACCAGCAGCCGCCAUCCUACGGACUUGGUUACUCAAGGAACGUCAUAAAAGUGGAAUUUGAAAUAUUUGACUUUUUGUUAGUAAUUCCAUUCACUGAGAAUAUCUUUCAUCUCCACCCAUCUUGUAACAUAUACCAAACUUGUUAUCAUUUUAUGGCUUAGUAAUGUUCCAUUUCAUGUGUGUACCAUGUGGCAUUUAUCCAUCAAGAGACAUUUGGGUUGUUUCUACCUUUUGACUAUUAUGAAUAAUCCUGUUAUGAAUAUGAGAUUAUCAAUAUCUGUUUUAGCCUCUCUAUCAGCACUUACGGAGUAAGUUGAAACAUACUGAAGAAUAGUAUAAUGAUUCAGGCAACAUUAGACAAUGUGUAACAGUAUGAUGCUAUUACAAUCCUUAAAACACUCUACUUAGUAUUUAUGAAAAUGACACUAUUCUGGUCAUGGGGAGGAGAUAUUAUUGGUUGAAUAUGAGCAAAUACAGCAGGAGUAAGUGCUACUAUGCUCAUUAAUGAAGAACUGUGCAGUUACAUCCCCUGGUGGUGGCCUCUCUCUGCUCUGUUUGCCCUUGCAUGGGAUCUGCUGAGUCAUGGUAGCUCUGCAAGUUCCGAAGGAGAAACUUGCCCGUGUGUUCUGUAAACGCAGUGUCCUGCAUCAAAUCCACAAAGCAUUCAUUCUUCACUUUGUGUCUUUGGUAUACAUGAAUAGGUGGCUCGUAGGACUGGUCUCCUUUCCUCUGGCCACUCUUUUAGCUUUUCUUGUUUCAUUUGGAACACAUGGCUCCAUAAAAUGCUGUCUUUUAGCACCCUUAUGACUGCUAAAGCUUCUUC